rnacentral:rRNA from 1 species
UUUAAGCAUAUCACUCAGUGGAGGAAAUGCAAGCAACUGCGAUUGCUUCAGUAACGGCGAGUGAACCAGCAGGCACAAGCAGAGCAGAGGGGUUGUUUGUGACGUGGGCUCCCCUCGUGAUCCAAUCCAUGAGAUUCCCUGUCAAAGCAAAGGCCCCCACAGCACACUGUGUGUGACUGUGGGGCAGAGAGAAGCAAUCUCUACCACCUGACCGGCUGUCUCAGACUGUUGGGCAAUCUUGUCAAGCAAUCAUCAUGCUGUGAGCUAAUGGAGCUGCUGGUGGACUCCUGGUUGUGACCUUGGCACCUGGCAAAGGGCUCUGGAAUGAGCCACCAACGUGGGUGACAGUCCCCAACCACAGUGUGUGCCUGGGUUCAGCCGGAGUCCUGCCAGUCUGGCAUCCUGGAGUAGAGUGGCUUGGGACUGCAGUUUGAAGUGUGAUGUGUAUCCAUCACAAGGAAGCAUACAGACCUGGGACCGAUAGCGCACAAGUAGAGCAAUCGAAGGAUGCAAAGAACUCCGUGAAGAGGGUUAAAAGCCCCUGAAGCUGUCAUGGGAACGGUGGUGAGUGGUGCUGUGGCUGAACAGUAUGCCAGACCUAUCCUGCUGUCCUUGGGAUGAUGUUGCUGUGGAACCCAGAGCUUGGAGCAGGGCUCACAACCCAGUGGAUCAAUGAGAGCUCUCUACUGCUUGCUGCCUGGUGUCUCCCAGUUUGACUCUCCCCAGCAGAGACAGGCCUGUCUGUGUUGUUAUACCGUCCAAGCACCCUUGGGCCAGCCCUGGGCUGGUCACUGAGCCCUCACACCCUCUGGUGUGUGGGGAUGCAGUCGUGAUAGCCAUCAGGGUGACAUCCUGCCUGUCUGGGCCCAAGGGGAUGCUAUGAUUGUAAAGCCAAACAGCAGUGGCCAAGACCAACCACUGACUGAGUGCAAGUGUGUCUGACUCUCCAAAGGAAGCAGUGCUGACGAACAACCCAAAGCCCUGGGCUCUCUGGGUGGUGUGGGUGGUGUCUCUCUCUCCCCUGGGGGAAGAGGCCCUCUCCCCAGUCCGAGACCCAGGCCCACUGGGGUCCUCUGGUGGAUCCUGGGGUCUGGCACCUGUGUGGUGGCUGCACCAUUCUGACUGGUGGCCGUUGCACUGGGCUGCUGACCUCCCACCAGAGACCACAGUGCAGAGGACGUGUGGAUCUGAGCUUGGCCCAUCCCUGUGGUGGUGCCGCUCUCUGCCCGUCUUGAAACACGGACCAAGGAGUCUACGGAGUGUGCAAGGUUGCAUGGAUCUCAAAGGUGUCAAACCACAGGACGUGGUGAAGGCAAAGGCAUCUCAGAGGGCUGAGCCCCACUUGACCAAGGCCACAGACCCCCAGGGGUCUGUGUGUGGUGGCUCCCCUCAGUCUGUCCCAGAUUGUGCCUGGAAUCCAAAGAGAUCUGCUGCAUGGGAUCACCGGUCCCAACGUCCAGUGGACAGGGUUUUGAGUGCUUGCAUGGUCCCUGGGACCCGAAAGGUGGUGAACUAUACCAUUCUACAGCGAAGCCAUGGGAAACUGUGGUGGAGGCUGGUCCGCUGUUCUGACGUGCAAAUCGUGUAGCCUGAGCGUGGCAUAGGGGUGAAAGGCCAAUCGAGCCACCUAGUAGCUGGUUCCCUUCGAAGUUUCCCUCAGGAUAGCUGGGCUCAGAUGACCAAAGGAUCUCUGAAGGACAAACCAAGGGCAAACACAGGCAAACCACUGCUGGUUACGUCCGGUAAAGCAACGCAUGAGAGGCAUCUCCGGGGGAACUUCUGUCCCUCGACCUAUUCUCGAACUGUGAAUGGGCGUGGCAAACCCAAAAGCAAAGGACCUCUCAGUUGUGUGUGAGAUCAAGGCAGAAGGCAUGCUUCUUCACCUGCCCCGGAGGCCACUGCUCCCACAGUGGUUCUUCCCUGAAAGGGGCUUCAUUCUGAGCAUGUUCAAAGGCAGAGACACCUGCCGCAAAAGCAGAGAGAACACAGGAGCCUAUGUGGGCCAUGACUGGUAAGCAGUGCUGGCGAUGCGGGGAUGCCUCCGAGAGUGGAACUUACAGCUCCAGAUUGCUGGCUCAUACUCAGAACCCACAAAGGAUGUUGCUUGCUCUGGAUAGCAGGACGGUGGCCAUGAAGGUUGGAAUCCGCUGAGGAAUGUGUAACAACUCACCUGCCGAAGCGUGCAGCUCCCAAAAUGGAUGGUGCCCAAGUCAGUUGGAUGCAGCAUGGUCUCGUACCAUGGAAUCUCCCUCACAGUCCACCGUUUGCUGUGGACAGCCCAAGCAGAGCAUCAACGUGUAGAACGGGCAUGAGAGACAAGGCUGAGCCAGCUGGGGUUGCCCCUGGCUGAAGCGUCUCUUGGCGCAGAUCUUGGUUGUAGUAGCGAAUACUCCAUUGAGUGAAACAAGGGUUGUGGCACACACAACAGCCUGCUGCUGCAAAGGCCUGCUCCUCGUGGGUGGGCUGGCGUGGUGGUGGCUGUCUGUGCCCACACCAACUGGCCAUGUGCGGUUGAGGACUGGAGUGGAGCAGGUUUCCACACCAAACAGCCGUUGAAUGUGGGUCAAACGACCGUGAGUCAAGUGGUAAGUUCACAGAUGUCAACCAAAGCUGCCAAGGAGAGCCAUCCCCAAGCACCCAGGAUCACACCCUGCCCAGGGUUGCCCCUGGUCUGUGGUGCCCCUGUCUGGUGUGUGGGAUGUGUUUACAAUCAGUGCUGUUGUGUCUCGUAUGGCAGGCCUGGCAAACAGGCAAGCAUGUGCAACAUUCUGCUGUGGUGAGGUUGGGGUGCCUCUGGACGGUGACGUCUGGUGUGCAUGACGUUGUCAAAGGCUUCUGUCUCCAUGGGCCUCUCCCCUGGGAGAGUGUACCGGAACAAAGGCAUCUCAGUGUGGAAUGAGCAGGCUUAGGGGCAGUGCACCCCCCAAGGAGUUAUCGCUUCCUUCUGAUGCAGACUCAUGUGGACUACAGAUUGGCAUCUCAGUGGGGUGAGGUAAGUCCUACGCUCAGCAAGGUGGUGUGCUCUGGGCAAGCCAGUGGUGUCCCAAACGUUUCCAUUUUGCAAAGCCCAAAGACCUUGUGUGUUGCCCAAGGCCGGUGGGUAGGGCAAAUCCCCACCCUGGUGUGGUGUGCACGGUCCCCAAGUGACAGUGAAUUGUUGUGGUAGUCACUGGCUCCAAUGAAAGGCCUGUCCAGAUCAAGGGUGCCCCCCAGCAUCCUCUGGGGGGUCUCGUACUGAAUCCCCGCAGCUGGUCUCCUCGACGAGAAGUCGCUAGUCCACAGAUGAAAUGCAGCUAAGGGAAGUCGGCAAACUGGCUGUGCACCUUUGGAAGAUGCAGUGGCUCCAGAGGCCAAAGGGUCUCAACUGUGAGAGGCCCCAUGGUUGUGGUCAGGGCUCCGGUCCUGUCUGUGGCUGUGGGGGUCACUGGAGGCUGGGGAGUCAUCCCUGGCCACCGGUGGCCAUCCUCUCCGUCAGGGGCAUGUCAUGUGUGAACUGCUUGCCCCUGGCUUGGACCCAACCUAUAGUGGCUCAUGUGGAACUGUUGCUGUACAGGGGAAUCUAACUGUUUAAUUGAAACCCAGCUUUGUGACGGGACCAGCUGGCUGGUGCCAUGAGGUGACUUCUGCCCAGUGCUCUGAUUGUCAAUGCGAAGAGAUUCAGCCAAGCGCGGGUAAACGGCGGGAGUAACUAUGACUCUCUUAAGGUAGCCAAAUGCCUCGUCAACCAAUUAUUGACGCGCAUGAAUGGAUCAAUGAGAUUCCUGCUGUCCCUAGUCGCUGUCUGGUGAACCAACAACCAAGGGAACGGGCUUGGAUGUGCCAGCGGGGAAAGAAGAGCCCUGUUGAGA